rfam:Triticum aestivum genome assembly, contig: Triticum_aestivum_CS42_TGACv1_scaffold_548340_6DS
UAUGUACUCCAUCCGUUCAGAAUUACUUGUCUCAGAAAUGGAUGUAUCUAGAACUAAAAUACAUCUAGAUACAUCCAUUUCUGUGACAAGUAAUUCCGAACGGAGGGAGUACAUC